UGGGGAAUAGCCAAGCGGUAAGGCAACGGGUUUUGAUCCCGUGAUUCGGGGGUUCGAAUCCCUCUUCCCCAGCCA
rnacentral:tRNA from 1 species